rnacentral:misc_RNA from 1 species
GCUUCUGCUGAUAAUGAUGCAUUAGCGCAGGCCAUGAGGGCCUUCAUGAGUGUGUGAAAUACUCUGAAGUGUAUAAAGUUCUUUUGGAUCAAAGAAUUGGGAUUACAAGUUUAUUUUUUAUUAAUAGGGUUGAUGCUUGGUUUCACGAUUGGAAUAAAGGGGCAAAUCAUACUUGGGAAGAAUUUGAGAAGGGACUGUGUGGGAGAUUUGGGGAUCUUGGAUUGGAAGAUAUUGUAGAGGAAUUUAUGAAGUUGAGGCAAGAAAAUUCUUUAGAUGAAUAUUUGGAUAUUUUUAAGGAUUUGAGGAUUAGAAUGGAGAGAGUGAUGCCUGAUUUGGGGGAAGCCUAUUUUCUUUCUGGGUUCAUGGGAGGUCUUAAGGACGAAAUAAGGUUGAUGGUGAGAAUGUUGAAACCUGCAACUUUAGCCGAGGCAAUAGAAGUAGCUAAGUUGCAAGAACAGCUGCUAGAUACCAAGAAACCCAAAACAUUUACUAAGACCUAUACCUCUAAUUUUGUUAGAAGCACUGCCAAUUACAAUUCCAAUUCUCCUUAUUCCAAUUCCAAAAAUUCUCAAGCAUACCCUUACCCUCCAAAACCUCCUAUCACAGAUUCACAACAUAAAACCACCAUUUCACUACCUAUUACCAAUAAAUCUAAUUCUACUAUCAGUUUAGCAUUUGUUAACCAAAGUACCAAUAAUUCUAGCUCUUCUAAGCCUACUAGUCAGUCCUCUGUUACUACUAAAUAUCAACCAAAACCUUGUUAUAAAUGUGGAGACAAGUAUUUUCCUGGUCACCAAUGCAAACCUAAAACCCUAGUAGCAGUUCAUGUGUGUGAACAGGAGGAAGGAAAUGGGGAGGAAGUAUGGCAUGAGGUACCUAAAGAGAUGGAAGAAGUGAAUGAGCAAGGGGAAUUAAUGCUGUCAGUACAUGCUGUAGAGGGUAGUGAUGGAGUAGACACAAUUAGAGUGCUGGGAGUUCAUAAGAACAGGGAAGUAAUAAUACUAAUAGACACUGGCAGCAAUAGUAGUUUUAUUGAUAGAAAAUUGGCUAAGGAAUUGAAGUUGGAUUUGGUUCAGACACCUGAAACUGCCAUAGCUGUAGCUGAUGGAAGGAAACUGAGUUGCAAUCAUCAAUGUAAGCAUUUUAGUUGGAAAAUGCAAUCUUAUAAGUUCCAAUUUGAUUUUAGAAUUUUAGAAUUGGGGAGUUUUGAUAUGAUUUU